UCCAGAUCUCCUUGGCGCAGUGUAGCCCCUGGGUCUAACCAAUGGAAUUUGGGGAUUCUGAUGUCCUUACUUUCCAGGUGGAAAUGGUUGUUUGUGUGAAGCAAAAAAU